AUUGAACGCUGGCGGCAGGCCUAACACAUGCAAGUCGAGCGGUAGAGAGAAGCUUGCUUCUCUUGAGAGCGGCGGACGGGUGAGUAAAGCCUAGGAAUCUGCCUGGUAGUGGGGGAUAACGUUCGGAAACGGACGCUAAUACCGCAUACGUCCUACGGGAGAAAGCAGGGGACCUUCGGGCCUUGCGCUAUCAGAUGAGCCUAGGUCGGAUUAGCUAGUUGGUGAGGUAAUGGCUCACCAAGGCGACGAUCCGUAACUGGUCUGAGAGGAUGAUCAGUCACACUGGAACUGAGACACGGUCCAGACUCCUACGGGAGGCAGCAGUGGGGAAUAUUGGACAAUGGGCGAAAGCCUGAUCCAGCCAUGCCGCGUGUGUGAAGAAGGUCUUCGGAUUGUAAAGCACUUUAAGUUGGGAGGAAGGGCAUUAACCUAAUACGUUAGUGUUUUGACGUUACCGACAGAAUAAGCACCGGCUAACUCUGUGC
rnacentral:rRNA from 1 species